CCCCUGGAGCGGACACAGAACAGCAACCACAGGUGGAGCAGCGCCCUCACGCCGGCAACCCCCAGACAACCACACCUCAAUCACGCACUAUGGACAACUGCCGUCCGUCAGGAGUAACAAAGGGCUCUUCGUUACAGUAAUGAAGAAGCCUGCAUCUGGGUGCACUGUGCAGCUGUGUUAAAUCUAUGUGAGAGGAAUUUUCUGAAGCAUCCUGAUUUACCUAAUAGAAGACAAAAUAAUCACCCCACAGUUAGAGCUGCUGAAGCAACAGCCUAAUUGUGUUCGAUGGCAGGACUGGAUAUUUGAGUCAAACCCCAUUAAAAUCAGUGGAAUAAAAUCUGACAUUGCA